CUGAAGCAUUGUGUUCUUUGUUUCCCCAACAUAUUGGAGCCCGCAGGUGUCACAAUAAAUUAGAUAGACACAAUUUUUGGAGUGGGGAUUUCCCUCGGCCAUCGUCUUGAAGACUGUCUUGUUCGAAUAGCUGCGUAUCCAAGGUCUGGAGUAAGUGGUGACAAAGGGGAGGAGUUCCUGUGUGUCUCUGGGCCGUGUCUCCAGGAACGUUUUGAGGGCCUCCCUUCUGAAAGAGCGGGCAUAGCCUCUGGCGGCUAAUGCCUUGAAGAGCGUUUUUGUGGCCGUCAUGAAGUCGCUCUUGUGGUUGUGUCCAGAAAAUCCACUGAUGUGUCGCUGGUGGUGGAUUUCAGCUUGAUGGACGGGUUGUGACUAUUCAAGGAUGCCAGAGCAGAGGUCUCCCACUCAGCCAUAAAGAUAUUUGCAUAGGCUGGUGCAAAUUUCUUACCCAUGGCAGUCCCUUUAAUUUGCAGGU